AAGUUGCCCAGGCUGGCCUUGAACUUGCACUCUUUCUGCCUCAGUCUACUGAAUAAUGCACCACCUCCCCUGGCUGCCUUUGGGAUUUUUCAACUGGAUUGGAGCAAACCCUAAUGAGAAUUCAAAUGUGCCGAGGCCGUAGUCACAGCCACCAGGGAUUUAUAAUGCAAUGGAGGAAAGAGAUUUACAAACUUCGGUGAGAGGAUAGUUUGUGGCAUGAUGGAAACACAGUGAAAUGAGUGAAGGAAGUAAGAAAAGACUCCUAGGAAAAGCGACAUUGAGGAGAAGCUUUGGUGGGUUGCAGGACACCAGUAGUGAAAAGGAAAUGAUGUCAAGACUGAAAAAUGACCAUUCCCAUCUACCUAAAGCUCAUGUUACUUGAAUAGCUGAAAACAUAUUACCAUCUCUGUGUCCAGACUUCCAGACUGAGUUAUACAGGACAGUUCAUUGGAACCAGGAAAACAUUCAGUGGAUAUGGUGCCAACCCACCAGUGCUGCAGGGCCAACCUCAGGACCAGAUGAAACUGUGCCGAAUAAAAGAUGAAGAAACAGGA